rnacentral:rRNA from 1 species
UACGUAGGUGGCAAGCGUUAUCCGGAAUUAUUGGGCGUAAAGCGCGCGCAGGCGGUCCUUUAAGUCUGAUGUGAAAGCCCACGGCUCAACCGUGGAGGGUCAUUGGAAACUGGGGGACUUGAGUGCAGAAGAGGAGAGCGGAAUUCCACGUGUAGCGGUGAAAUGCGUAGAGAUGUGGAGGAACACCAGUGGCGAAGGCGGCUCUCUGGUCUGUAACUGACGCUGGAGGCGACG